AUGCCCUGGCGCCAACUCCUUGCCUCACAUCAUCCUCAGAUGCUAUCUGAUGGAUGGGCCAGUGGCCUUCCUUACCCUCAUAAGGGACAAGCACCUGGAGUUCUCUCCACUCCAAAGAGCCCAGUGGUCCACCAUGUGCAUGCUGGUGGAGCUGCACAGUCAGAGCCAGGACUUCUUUGUUUACACCUACAAGCACCACGUGGAGACCCGCUGGCACUGCACUAUCUUCAAGGUAGGCCCCAGGGGUGGGGAGCAGAGGGCACUGGAGGGUCCCUGUCUCAGGGCAGUGGUCCAGCAGAUACACCUGGAACACCUACAUUCUGUACCAGGUCAGAUCGCACACAAGGACAGAAUGCGGCCAUUUCUCACGUUUGUUCCAAUAAUGUGCUAGGAGGUGUGCCCCAUCCCCCAGCCUGGGCUUCUCUCUCCAGGCGAGCCCAUGCUGUGUGCUCCUUCCCACUCUGGCUGGCCUUGCUCUGGCAAGGGCUGCAGCCUUCCAGCUGGGGGUGUGUGGGUGGGGUGAUGGCAGGCUGGCCACCUGACAGGGGUAGACCGUGGGACCAGGUGUGGCAGUUGGCACUUAGAAAUAGGGCCAAGGGGCGCCUGGGUGGCUCAGUCGUUAAGCGUCUGCCUUCGGCUCAGGCCGUGAUCCCGGAGUUCUGGAAUCGAGCCCCACGUCAGGCUCUUCCACUGGGAGCCUGCUUCUUCCUCUCCCACUCCCCCUGCUUGUGUUCCCUCUCUCGCUGGCUGUCUCUCUCUCUGUCAAAUAAAUAAAUAAAAUCUUAAAAAAAAAAAGAAAAAGAAAAAGAAAUAGGGCCAAGCCCCACCCCACCACCAAGGCUACUAUUUUUUAAUGUAAGCCUCUAAUACUACUUGAUUAUUUAUCUAUUUGUAUAUAUUGCCUUGAUUAAAGUUUUACAGAUUAAAACAAAAUACAAUACAGGUAUUAAAUAUUCCACUCAAGAAGUCAGAGGAAAAUAUAGCAAAAUAUAGCCAAAUAAGUAAAUGUAAAUAAUUAACAAGAACAAAGAAAUGAACUGAUAAAUAAGAACCAAAACCAAAACCAAAAAUGUAAUCUUAACUGAGAAAACCAAAAGCUGCUUCAUUGAAAAUACCAAUAAAAUAGAAAAACUUUUGGUAAGAACAGUCAAGAAAAUAAUGAGUACAAAUCAUUAAGCACCAUUAAAAACAAGAAAGAGACACAAUUGCUUAAAGAAAGAUUAGAUGCUCUUAGAUAAUAUUGUUAAUUAUUGUACAAAAGUAUCUUGACAAGCUAUUUGAAAUGGAUGAUUUUCUAGGAAAAUAUAAAUGUUACUUUUGAUUCAAGAAGGAGUAGAAACAAUAA
rnacentral:lncRNA from 1 species